GACGAACGCUGGCGGCGUGCUUAACACAUGCAAGUCGAACGGAAAGGCCCUGCUUUUGUGGGUUGCUCGAUAGGCGAACGGGUGAGUAACACGUGAGUAUCCUGCCCUUGACUUUGGGAUAACUUCAGGAAACUGGGGCUAAUACCGGAUAUGAUCUCCUGCUGCAUGUUGGGGGUUGGAAAGUUUCGGCGGUUGUGGAUGGACUCGCGGGUUAUCAGCUUGUUGGUGGGGUAGUGGCUUACCAAGGCUUUGACGGGUAGCCUGCAUGAGAGGGUGAACGGGCACCUUGCGCCUGCGAUACGGAGCAGAAUGGAACGUGACGCAGCAGUGGGGAAUCUUGCAGAAUGGGGGGAAGCCUGAUGUAGAGGUGUUGCGUGCGGGAUGCUGGCCUUUGGGUGGUAAACAGAUUUGGACUGUGCCGAAGAGGGAGUGACGGUACUGGGUCAAGAAGCCCCGGCUAACUACGUG
rnacentral:rRNA from 1 species